rnacentral:rRNA from 1 species
UGGGGAAUAUUGCACAAUGGGGGAAACCCUGAUGCAGCCAUGCCGCGUGUGUGAAGAAGGCCUUCGGGUUGUAAAGCACUUUCAGCGAGGAGGAAAGGUUGGUAGCUAAUAACUGCCAGCUGUGACGUUACUCGCAGAAGAAGCACCGGCUAACUCCGUGCCAGCAGCCGCGGUAAUACGGAGGGUGCAAGCGUUAAUCGGAAUUACUGGGCGUAAAGCGCACGCAGGCGGUUGGAUAAGUUAGAUGUGAAAGCCCCGGGCUCAACCUGGGAAUUGCAUUUAAAACUGUCCAGCUAGAGUCUUGUAGAGGGGGGUAGAAUUCCAGGUGUAGCGGUGAAAUGCGUAGAGAUCUGGAGGAAUACCGGUGGCGAAGGCGGCCCCCUGGACGGUAACUGACGCUGAGACGCGAAAGCGUGGGGAGCAAACA